CGGGACACGUGGUAUCCUGUCUGAAUAUGGGGGGACCAUCCUCCAAGGCUAAAUACUCCUGACUGACCGAUAGUGAACCAGUACCGUGAGGGAAAGGCGAAAAGAACCCCGGCGAGGGGAGUGAAAAAGAACCUGAAACCGUGUACGUACAAGCAGUGGGAGCACGCUUAGGCGUGUGACUGCGUACCUUUUGUAUAAUGGGUCAGCGACUUAUAUUCUGUAGCAAGGUUAACCGAAUAGGGGAGCCGAAGGGAAACCGAGUCUUAACUGGGCGUUAAGUUGCAGGGUAUAGACCCGAAACCCGGUGAUCUAGCCAUGGGCAGGUUGAAGGUUGGGUAACACUAACUGGAGGACCGAACCGACUAAUGUUGAAAAAUUAGCGGAUGACUUGUGGCUGGGGGUGAAAGGCCAAUCAAACCGGGAGAUAGCUGGUUCUCCCCGAAAGCUAUUUAGGUAGCGCCUCGUGAAUUCAUCUCCGGGGGUAGAGCACUGUUUCGGCAAGGGGGUCAUCCCGACUUACCAACCCGAUGCAAACUGCGAAUACCGGAGAAUGUUAUCACGGGAGACACACGGCGGGUGCUAACGUCCGUCGUGAAGAGGGAAACAACCCAGACCGCCAGCUAAGGUCCCAAAGUCAUGGUUAAGUGGGAAACGAUGUGGGAAGGCCCAGACAGCCAGGAUGUUGGCUUAGAAGCAGCCAUCAUUUAAAGAAAGCGUAAUAGCUCACUGGUCGAGUCGGCCUGCGCGGAAGAUGUAACGGGGCUAAACCAUGCACCGAAGCUGCGGCAGCGACGCUGAUGCGUUGUUGGGUAGGGGAGCGUUCUGUAAGCCUGUGAAGGUGUGCUGUGAGGCAUGCUGGAGGUAUCAGAAGUGCGAAUGCUGACAUAAGU
rnacentral:rRNA from 1 species